UUGUAUGUCCAUACUAUGUUGAAUGUAUCAGAUCUUGUCUGAUCUGGGAAGUUAAGCAGGGUCAGGCCUGCUUAGUACUUGGAUGGGGGAAAUAUAUC
rnacentral:rRNA from 1 species